CUUCACUGUACUCUCUAAAAAAAAAAAAAAAAAUAUUAAAGAAUCAGGAGCUUCGCUUUAGCUUCCCGAACAUUCCUCCCAGACUCGUAAGAACUAUUGCUCCCAAAAUCACUGUUUUGCAGGUAUGUUUGGUUAGGGUUUUAAGGUGCUGAUAAUUGAAACACUGAAGAGGGGAUUUUAGGUUGAGAGUGUUGACUCUGUUUGGGAGUCAAAGCUAAGUCCAUAGGACAGCAUGGGUUUCGAUAAUGAGUGCGUAUUGAACAUUCAAUCUCUAGCUGGAGAGUACUUCUGUCCUGUUUGUCGUCUACUUGUUUACCCAAAUGAAGCUUUACAGUCACAGUGCACUCAUCUGUACUGUAAACCGUGUUUGACAUACAUUAUCAGCACUACCCAGGCUUGCCCUUAUGAUGGCUAUUUAGUGACUGAAGCAGAUUCCAAGCCACUUGCAGAGUCAAAUAGAACACUUGCCGAAGCAAUUGGCAAGAUAACCGUUCAUUGUCUAUACCAUAGGAGUGGAUGUACGUGGCAGGGUCCUCUAUCUGAGUGUACAUCACAUUGUUCAGGGUGUGCCUUUGGAAAUUCGCCUGUUGUAUGUAAUAGGUGUGGAAUUCAGAUUGUUCAUCGCCAAGUACAGGAUCAUGCUCAAAAUUGUCCUGGUGUGCAGCCUCAAGCACAACAGGCAGUAGGUGUUCAGGAUGCUUCUGCAACAGGCACACCAGGUACAGCUGAUCAGACCCAGGCUGCCCCUCAGGCAGGGGUGACCACUUCUCUGAUCCAGACCCAAACAACUGCCAUCCCUCCAACUGGAAAAGAUGCUGGCCAACAAACCAACUCAAAUUCUCAGGCCCAAGCUGUUGUUCAGGCUGCAGUACCUUCUGCAGAGCAAUGGUAUCAACAGCAACAGCAAUAUCAGCAAUACUACCAGCAGUAUUAUCAACAAUACUACCCCUAUCAACAACAAGCGGUUCCACAAUAUCAGCAGCAGCAAUUGCAGGCUCAACCUCAGGGGUUUGUACAGCCACAGACACAGUCCCAAACUCAACCGCAACGUCAACCGCAUAUGCAGCCUCAACCCCUGGUUCAACCCCAAGCUCAGCCCCAGCCACAAAUUCAGCCCUCACAACCACCAGCUCAGGCACCUGUGACUGUGGUAACUCAACCUCUGAGUCUGACACAAGUCAACCCACAGCAGCAAACUCAUCUACCUCCGCAGGGCCAGCCACUUUCUCAGACUCAAUCUUAUCCUCAAGCUCAAGCUCAGUCUUAUGCCCAAGCUCAGGCUCAUCCACAACCUCAGCCCAUUCGGCCCCAUCCCCCAAAUAUGCAAAUGCCCCAGUAUCAACAACCUCUUUCUCAUAUGCAAAAUAAGCAACCCCAAAUUCAGCAUCCUAUUCCUCAGCCUCAACUUCAAUCUCAAACUCAGCAACAAACACAGGUCCAGUCCCAGUCCCAGACUCAUUCUCAACUCAACCCCCCAUUGCCCAACCAGACACAGACCCAGCAUACUGCAGCCCAUGCAGUAACAGGCCACCAUUCUUACCCACAGCCACAGCCUCAGCCUCAGCCUCAUCAGCAAAUACCAUUGAGUGGCCCACUACAACAUCCCAUGCUUCUGCAUCCACAUGGUGGAUCUUAUCCGCAAAUACAGAAUCAAUAUUCUCAACAAACUCCCCAGAUGCGUCCACCGCAACCUAAUGCUACAAUUCCGAAUCAGCAGCAAUCAGCAGUGUUACCUGCACCAGGUCAAGUGCCAAACAUUCCUCCAGCACAACAACCACCAGUUCACCCUCAUGUUCAUCAACCAGGACUUCCAGGACAUCAGCGUCCUGUUAUUCAGCCAAUGCAACAACCUAUGCCUCAACUGUAUGGGCAGCAGCAGCCGUCUUUUACAGGACAGUAUCAGCAAGUUCCCUUUGCACAGCAACAUCCAUCUGUGCAAUCCCAGUUGCGUCCACAGGGUCCACCUAAUUCAUUCCAGCAGCCUUCUCAUCCCUAUUCACAGCCACAGCCGAAUGUUGCACUUUUGCAUGGUAUGCAACCCCAUCAGUACCAAAAUAUUGUAGGACGGCCUAUGAAUCCUAAUCAUGCAGCACAAUCCCAACCAUAUCAACAAUCUGCAGCAGGUCUGCAGGGUAGAGCAAUUCAGUAUGGUUUAAACCAACCUUUUUCAAAUCAGAGUAACGUGCUCGGGACCAACAACCAAAUGCAAUUGUCUUCUGAAAAACAGUCUGCGGCAACAUUAGAACAAGCAAUAUCUGAGAAGCAAGACAUUGCUGAGAAAAGUGAAGAUGAGAAAAAAGUAGAACCAUCUUCUCAGAAAACUGCAAAAACUGAUGGAAAUACAUUGAAUGCAGCUUCUGGUCCUCAAGCUGAUGCAGUAGGUAUGAAAGUCCCCAAAUCUGAAAGUGAUGUAAAGUUGAUGGUUGAUGAGAUCAAAGCUGAAGUUGAAGAUAAAACUAAUCCAGUUGAUACUUCUGCUAAGGAGUUUGUCACAGAUCUGGAGUCAGGUGCAUCAGGAAAUGCAGUGCCUGGAAUUAAGCUGGUGGUUAAGGAAGAGGUUGUAGAAAAUAUUGGGGACUAUAAAGAUUCAGCUAAUGUUGACUGCAAACAAGUGGGACAUUCUGUGUUGGAAGAAAAGGAAAUUCAGAAUGGUUCUCUACAGAAAAGUUCCCCAUUACAGGUAGGUUCACAACUUGGAGAACAGAGUGGGAUGCUGCAGAAAGGCAAAACUUUGCCUCAAGGUCCUGCAUUAGUACCUCCAGCUGGUCAGGUGCAACCUGGAGGUUCUGUGCUGUCCCCUUCAACACAUUAUGGGUCCUCAACUCUUCAACAAAGGCCUACUGCACCGUCAAUGUUCCAAGCACCACAUCCAGGACCAUUACAUCACACACAGGGCCUGGGGAACCCUCCUACACAGUUUAGGCCACAGGGCUCUAGUCAUGUAUCACAUCCAGGACAAUCUUUAAUGCCUGCUGAUAAUUUCCAGCCACCUAUAUUCAAGCCCCAUGGUCCUGAAAUACCUCCAGUUGGCAUUUCAGGCUCAGCCGCUGCAGCAGCCUUUGGAAGGGGAGCAGGUCAUCAUGGUCCUCCUCAGCAUAGCUUAGAACCACUGACGGCACCUCAUGGGCCUUAUAAUCAAGGUCAUCUGCCCCCUUCCCAUUUUGGGGCUCCCAGAAUAUCACAAAGUGAUCCUGUUGGAGGGCUGCCACUGAGGCCAGUACCACCUGGUGCAUUUGACUCACAUGGUGGAAUGAUAGGAGGGCCAUCGUAUGGCCCUGAAGGUCAGAGGCCGGGCUACUUGGAUGGAAGACGACCUGAUUCUCAUCUACCAGGCUCACUGGAACAAAGUCCUUAUGGGCAGCUGUCUGGUUUACAGUCUAAUACGAUGAGAUUGAAUGGGGCCUCAGGCCUUGAGUUACCAGAUGAAAGAUUUAAGCCUUUUCUAGGUGAACGUCUGAAUCCAGUCCCAAUGGACCCAGCUCAAGGGGUUAUUGAUCGUGGAGAGCUUGAAGAAGAUCUCAAGCAAUUUCCUAGACCUUCUCAUUUGGAUACUGAGCCUUUUGCUAAACUUGGUGGUCGCUUUCCCUCAUCUAGGCCUCUAGAUAGGGGUCCUCAUGGUUUUGGUAUCGAUGUGGGACCAAAGCCAUAUGAUAGAGGAUUGAACUAUGAUCUUGGGUUGAAAUUGGAUCAUGUGCCUGGCUCUGCUCCGUCAAGAUUUUUGCCCUCCUAUGCUGGAGAAAGACCACCUGGUAUUCAUGAAGAUGCACCAGGGAGAUCAGAUUCUGCUCGUUCUCAUCCAGAGUUUCUUGGAGUAGGACCUAGAUAUGGACGCCGUCAUAUGGAUGGAUUGAGUCCAAGGAGUCCAGUUAGAGAAUUUCCUGGGAUAUCCUCACGUGCAUUUGGAAGCCUUCCUGGGAAUUUAGGUAGCAGCCACUCAGGCUUGGAUGAUAUUGACAGCAGGGAGUUCCGUCGAUUUGGUGAUCCAAUUGGCAAUUCAUUUCAUGAUAGUAGGUUUCCAGCUUUCCCAAGCCAUUUUCGCAGGGGUGAGUUUGAGAGGCCUGGUAGGAGUGGUGAUUUUGUUGGUCGAGAUUUUCUGCCUAACCAUUUACGGAGGGGUGAACAUUUAGGUCCUCAAAAUUUAAGGCUGGGAGAAACGGUUGGUUUUGGUGGAAUUCCCGGUCAUGCACGUAUGGGAGACUUGGGUGGGCCAGGAAACUUUCCUCAUCCAAGACUUGGUGAGCCUGGAUUCAGGAGCAGCUUUUCGCAUCAGGGUUUCCCAAAUGAUGGUGGAUUCUAUACAGGUGAUAUGGAGCCUUUUGACAACUCAAGAAAACGGAAGGCUCCAAGCAUGGGAUGGUGCCGCAUUUGUAAGGUUGAUUGUGAAACAGUGGAUGGUUUGGAUCUGCAUUCACAAACAAGGGAGCAUCAAAAGUUGGCUAUGGAUAUGGUUGUAAGUAUCAAGCAGAAUGCAAAGAAACAGAAAUCAACACCUGGUGAUCGUUCCAUACAUGAUGAUGCAAACAAGUCAAGAAAUGCAAAUCUUGAGGGCCGCGGGAAAAAGCAUUAAGGCAUGGUGAAAUGCUCCAAGUUGGAUCUUGUUGGUUGCUUGGCUGACCAGGGUUGAUUUUGUUCUUUUGGUUGCUGCCAUGUUAAGGAGAUGGUUUUUGGAACUGAAGUCAGUGGCAAUUUUUUCAAUUCGACCUGUCUUUUUACGGGAAAGCAGACAACAUAAAGGCUGAAAGUUCAGUGGAAAGGUUUACUCGACCAUCUUUUUUAGAUGUGGUAAGAUUGUGUUCAAUAUAAGGAUUUUCUUUUUUGUGAAUUCUUUGCUUUGCAGUACUGUUCUUUUGUAAUUGGUUUACUGGAGAUUCUAUCCUGUGUUUUGCAACACAUUUAAAUAUUUUUUCCACCAAGUGUUUUGCGGAGGAAACUUGUAGGUAGUUUCAUGAUCUUAAGAAACAUAAUUGACUUAGAGUUCAUUCAUAUUCAGUUGUAAGUGUUGUUGUAUCAAAGUUCAGAACCCUACCUUGGUGCUUUAGUGAUGGGACUCAUAUAUAAAAAAUGAAUCAGAUAUGUUCAAGUAUCCUGUGCUGUAUUCAAUAUUGCCUCUUGGUUUAUUAUGCAUUGAUGAACAUAUAAUUCAUUGAAACAGAGUUUAACUGGUUUGAGUGAAAGGACUUGUAAGCUUACUCCUAUUAGGCUUUUGUUAGGAAAGUCUCAGGUAAAGUGGGGUUGUGGGCUUCACUGAAUGUUCUGGUGACAAAGAUUGGUGCUUUAACUUUCUGUAAUGCCUGGACCCUUUUUUGUGCUAGAAUGAAAUUUUCACAGGCAUUGGUAAUAUAUUUGGUUUGUCUAUGUUGAAAUUUUUUUGUGUUUAUCUUUUUCCUAGACUUAUUGGUGGGUUAUAUCAAUAUGAUUGGCUUUUGCUUGGAGGGCUAGAAAAAUAUUAGGACUGUUGUAUAAUGAUGCAGUAUCUUCUAUUUUUGCAAUAUAGGGAUAUUGAAGGGUUUCUUUGUUGAAUUAUCUUUAGGUCUAGAUUCGAUUUUCUUUCUUUCUUUUGAUUUCUUUUAGUUGACUCUUUUGGAGAGGGGAAAAGUGAGAACGUAACACAAGUCUGAUAACAUGACAAAUCAACUAGAUUCAGCAUUUUCUGAUUUGCGGUUCCAGCUUACUAACUUUUUUGUCCUGAAUGAUUUUUUAUUUUGGCUAGACUUUCUCACUAGCAAGUCAUUUAACUUGAUCAAAUUAUACUUAGUUGCUCAGUUUCUUUUAGGCUAUUUUGUUUGACAGAUCUAAAUGAAUUUAAAUUUUAUCAUAUCUUGAUCUAUGUCAAACUAUCAAGUUAACCUUCCUUCUAUUUAAAGUUGAAGGAAAAAAAGAUGUAUGUCCUGUGUCUGGCAUGCUAGUUUUAUGUCAUUUAUUUGUUAUUUUAGGUUGUUUGCACAAAGAAUUGCUUGCUACUGCCCCACUACAUGAAGCCAAACUUUUUGAAGAUUCCAUCAAACUAUGUAGUAGUUAGUGACUGAAGAACCUAUUGAAGACACUAUUGAACUAACCAUUGGUUAGGGGCUAAAGAGCAAUUUAUCUCCUAGAAUGUUAUGCUUUAGAUACAAUUUUCUAGUUUUGUUAUCCUUUAGUAAGUUAUCAACAUUAACACUUCGGUGCUAGUAAUUGUGGUUCCAUCAUAUUCUCUAGGAAUAUCCUUCUUUGUUUAUAGUUUGUUAUAUGCUACAUCUGAAAAUAUUAAUGAGAAACCAAAACUUUAAAUGGCUCAUUGCCUGUGAUAUACACUCCUUAACUGAGAGUCUAACAAAAUAACUAUUGUCUGCCUCUGAUUACAACUUUGGUUAAGUUUUGCGAAUUUGGCUCCUUUGAGAAUCUGUUAAUGCUUCAUGGACCACUUUGUUAUACUUGUGAAAGUUGGGGCUUUCAUGGAAGUUAUAGACAGCCUUUGCAAUGUUGGAUGGCAAUUCUGGAAAGCAAAUCGUGCUUCUUCAUUUUGUUUGUACCAGGUUUGUGGAUUUAUUCUUGAGCAUUGUUUGUGAGGAUAUUCUUCUCAAUGGUAAUUUAUCACUUUCUUUCAAGUUUUAAGAAUUUUUCUCUACCGUGCUCUGAUUGUAUUGUGUUAUCAGUGUAUCUGGCUUAAAGAAAGAGAGUUUAAACACUGUUAUUUCUUCUGUCUGGUAGAACGCAGAGCCGAAAUUGACAUGAACUUUUGAUACAAGAUAGUGUAGGCAUGAUUUGGUAUCCUAGAUAAGCAUAAUGUGAAUAACUUAAGCUAUAUACUGUAGAACGCAGAGAAAGAGAGUUUAAGCACUGUUAUUUCUUCUGUCUGGUAGAACGCAGAGCCAAAAUUGACAUGAACUUAAACACGGUUAUUUGUUACCUUAUGUAUGUACUUCCGUCGAUGUUUGAUGAGGCCAUGAAGGUGCAUGUUAAUAGUGUGAGAAUUGGACCACUACUGAUGUGUCCCACUUUAGUUAAUAAUUAUUUUUAAUUUACUAAUACGUCAAGUUUCCCAUUGGAAACAAUGAUGGAUCAAAAAAAUGCUAUAUGCCUUAGUAUGGCAUGGCUAACUUAAGCUGUACACUGUAGGUGCUGAAUUUUGUAGAUACCAGAUGAUGCAGUGUUUGUGCCAAUUUGUGAAUAACUGGUGAAUAGAAAAUAUUUUCUAUUAAAAAAAAAACAAAGUUAUCCGAACAUAAUGUGACAAUUUUUCAGUCAAGUACAGUAGAAGAGUCUUGGACUAGGAAGAUUCCGCAUAAACUGUUUAUCAUAAACAUUAUUCGAAGAGUAAUACUAUGCUUAUAAUCUAAUUUCAUAACUUUUUUCUUAUAACCUUAUUGUGGCAAUUGAGUUGGCAACUAUCCCCUAAACUUUCAUCACACCCAAAUCACUAAAUGACUUUACUAAAUAUAAACGAUAGUUUCUUAAGGAUGAACGGUCGAUCUUUCAUAAGAAAUAUUUGUUCUUUAUGAAAAAACAAUUGUGCAUUUAUAAGGAAUUGUUGUUUUCUUAUUUGUUUCUUAUGAAAGAACAACCAUUUUUUUAUGAAUGGAACAAUAAUUUCUUAUGAAUGUAAGGUCGUUCGUUUCUAAGGAACGAUUGUUCAUGUUUAGUUAAA